rnacentral:rRNA from 1 species
UACGUAGGGUGCGAGCGUUAAUCGGAAUUACUGGGCGUAAAGCGUGCGCAGGCGGUUUUGUAAGCCAGGUGUGAAAUCCCCGGGCUCAACCUGGGAAUGGCAUUUGGGACUGCAAGGCUGGAGUGCGGCAGAGGAGACUGGAAUUCCUGGUGUAGCAGUGAAAUGCGUAGAUAUCAGGAGGAACACCUGUGGCGAAAGCGGCGCACUGGACCACAACUGACGCUGAGGCGCGAAAGCUAGGGGAGCAAACGGG